UGAGUAACCUGCCCUUAACUCUGGGAUAAGCCUGGGGAAACUGGGUCUAAUACCGGAUAUGACUCCUCAUCGCAUGGUGGGGGGUGGAAAGCUUUAUUGUGGUUUUGGAUGGACUCGCGGCCUAUCAGCUUGUUGGUGAGGUAAUGGCUCACCAAGGCGACGACGGGUAGCCGGCCUGAGAGGGUGACCGGCCACACUGGGACUGAGACACGGCCCAGACUCCUACGGGAGCAG
rnacentral:rRNA from 1 species